UAGUUGCCCAGAGGUUAAGUGUGCAACACCCCGAACCUUUUGGUCACAAGACGAUUGCACAGGUCAUCUAGUGGGAGGCAAUCUGACUCAUUUGGACCUGAACUAACUGCCUGCAAUCACUCUCAAACAGACUGGGGAAGAGAUCCCAGGACACGGGCUGAAGGGAAGAUGGUCUUUGGAAUAUCAUCUUCAGAUGAGAAACUGCUGGGAUAACGUAUCAGAAUCAUAAUUACAUUCCACUACUGUCGAGCAGAUAAAACAGCAUAAAGGCGCAGCUUACCAGUGUGCUGAAACAGGACAGCCACCACCCCAAUUUCAACCUCCACAAUAACAUGAAGGCAUGGGUCAGGCUGGGUCAGCUGGGAUAGGCUCAAGCACCCCUGUGACCCUGAAGAAAAAGGAUGCAUGGAUGGAUUUUCAACCUGCACAAUGUAUUUCAGGGUACAAAUUUUAUUAUCAUCUGCAGAGUAAAGAAACAUGUUUCCCUGUACAAUGAAAUUCUGCUACCCACAAUAU